GAUAUUCGGAAAUUCUUUGGAGUAAUACCAGGUGGAAAGAAACUUGUAAGUGAAACAGUAAAGAAGAAUGAGAAAACAAAGUCUGAUGAAGAAACUUUAAAAGCAAAGAAAGGAAUAAAGGAAAUCAAGGUAAAUAGCUCCCGUAAAGAGGAUGACUUCAAACAAAAGCAACCAAGCAAGAAAAAGAGGAUCAUCUAUGAUUCAGAUUCAGAGUCAGAGGAGACGUUGCAGGUAAAAAAUGCCAAAAAGCCACCAGAAAAACUGCCAGUAUCUUCUAAACCUGGUAAAAUUUCACGGCAGGAUCCUGUUACAUACAUUUCAGAAACAGAUGAAGAAGAUGACUUUAUGUGUAAGAAGGCGGCCUCUAAAUCAAAAGAGAAUGGAAGAUCUACAAAUAGUCAUCUUGGAACAUCAAACAUGAAAAAGAAUGAAGAAAACACUAAGACCAAGAAUAAGCCUUUAUCACCAAUAAAACUUACACCCACAUCAGUACUUGAUUAUUUUGGAACUGGAAGUGUCCAAAGAUCUAAUAAGAAGAUGGUGGCAAGCAAAAGAAAAGAGCUGGAGAGGCAGUUGCAUGAAGAUGAAGAGUUUGCCAGAACAUUAGCCAUGUUGGAUGAAGAACCCAAGACCAAAAAGGUGGCAUAAUGUUGGGCUAUUUGCGUUCUGAAUAUACAGUACAGAUCAGUGUUCAUACUUGCGUGUUCUAGGCUCUAGCCAAAACAUGAAUAACUUUUCCAGAAAGAAGUUAAAUUAUUUUAUAAAAAUGUUUUUGG
rnacentral:sRNA from 1 species